rnacentral:siRNA from 1 species
UCUAACAACAAUCAGCACGUGCCA